rnacentral:rRNA from 1 species
GUCUAUGGCCAUACCACCCUGAAUACUCCUGAUCUCUUCUGAUCUUGGAAGUUAAGCAGGGUCAGGCCUGGAUAGUACUUGGAUGGGAGAAUAUACUCUCCUAAAGAGA